rnacentral:rRNA from 1 species
UACGAAGGGGGCUAGCGUUGCUCGGAAUCACUGGGCGUAAAGCGCACGUAGGCGGAUUGUUAAGUCAGGGGUGAAAUCCUGGAGCUCAACUCCAGAACUGCCUUCGAUACUGGCGAUCUCGAGUUCGGGAGAGGUGAGUGGAACUGCGAGUGUAGAGGUGAAAUUCGUAGAUAUCGACAGACGCAAUCGGCGGAGCGAGC